CCCAGUGUUAGACACUCUUUUUCUUUUGUUUUUUGUUUUGAGCCUUUCCCAAACCUUUAACCCUGAAUUAAUGCCUACUCAGAAUUAACCCUAUCCCUAAUGAAUGCCUAUAAUUUUGUUUUAGUUUCACUUUUGCAGAGUUUGACUGACAGCUAAAAUAUGGCACCACAUGGUGAAAUUAAAACGUCAAGCCUUGACGAAUUCUUUUGAUGAAUUCUGUUGCAGCAGUUUCGUCACCGAGGAUCGUUAUAUUUGGAGAUUGCGCUAUGUUUUCGAAGCGGAUGUUGAUGCUAAUUUGUUAGCUUCGCCCUUUUCAAGAUGAACUUUCAACAAGAAGUUGAUAUAAAUGAUCAUCAUCUGCCUUCUCAAGUAGAGGUCUUCACGGAUGCACCUGUACCUGAAUACCCAAGACUCAAUACGGGACCAGAGCGCGUCCGGAUCCAGAAUUCUAAAUAAUAUCACGGGUCUGGGUCGGAUCUGAUUGUCAUGGGUCUCAGGCCAAUAGAACGAUGGGAUGCCAGGCGGGCGGAUCACUGACCGAGAGGAAAAGGGAAGGGAAUGAAUAGCUGAGAUGUCUGUGCUGCUAAGCCUAGCAUCACUGGGACCAGAAGACCAGGGGACCACACUGCCUGUGCUGGGACAAGCAGCCCCCUAGGAAGCUGAGAUGUGUACUUAUCUUCAUGUGCACAUUCCAUUCACUUCCGCAUCUCAUCCUGGGAAGGAAGUGACGUCGCAUUCAGACCCUUUUUAUGAAUGGGUUCCCGCCACUGUUGACGGUAGGCUAGUCCAAGUUCAUGAGUGAAUUGUAAUCAUGUAAUUUUCUAAUUACUCAGGAAGUUAAAAAUUAUUUUUCAAUGUUGGAUAAAUGAUCAAGAUUAACAUGUGAAAAGAGGAAGUAUGUAACAUGACAUUUCAAGCUAAUUGAUAUGUUGGUUUGUUCCACAUCUGCAUGGUAUAAGAGCCUGACCAGGCAGGGCCAGUUAGAGCUGACGUGCCAAGAGGGCAAGCUGGGCUGGGCUGGGCUGGGCUGGGCUGGGCUGCCUCGCCUCGCCUCCCCUCCCAGCUAUGCUAAGUCUAAAAUGCUAAGCUAACGCAGUGCAAGUGUUCAGUUAAUCCUUUGGGUUUUUUGUCUUUAUGUUUGGACAAGUUAUUUGAAGUUUAUAAAAAAAAUUCUACUUUAUUUUCUACGCUUUUCUGUUUAGUUUUUUGUUUUUUUGGGACUCUGGCAUUGUACAAAGCCAUUCGUCUUUGUUUGAAAAUAAAAUAA